rnacentral:rRNA from 1 species
UACGUAGGGUGCAAGCGUUAAUCGGAAUUACUGGGCGUAAAGCGUGCGCAGGCGGUUUUGUAAGUCUGUCGUGAAAUCCCCGGGCUCAACCUGGGAAUUGCGUUGGAGACUGCAAGGCUAGAAUCUGGCAGAGGGGGGUAGAAUUCCACGUGUAGCAGUGAAAUGCGUAGAGAUGUGGAGGAACACCGAUGGCGAAGGCAGCCCCCUGGGUCAAGAUUGACGCUCAUGCACGAAAGGCGUGGGGAGCAAACAGGAU